rnacentral:rRNA from 1 species
AUUGAACGCUGGCGGCAUGCCUUACACAUGCAAGUCGAACGGCAGCACGGGUGCUUGCACCUGGUGGCGAGUGGCGAACGGGUGAGUAAUACAUCGGAACGUACCUUAUCGUGGGGGAUAACGCAGCGAAAGCUGUGCUAAUACCGCAUACGCCCUGAGGGGGAAAGCGGGGGAUCGCAAGACCUCGCGCGAUUAGAGCGGCCGAUGCCUGAUUAGCUUGUUGGUGGGGUAAAAGCCCACCAAGGCGACGAUCAGUAGCUGGUCUGAGAGGACGAUCAGCCACACUGGGCAUGAGACACGGCCCAGACUCCUACGGGAGGCAGCAGUGGGGAAUUUUGGACAAUGGGGGCAACCCUGAUCCAGCAAUGCCGCGUGAGUGAAGAAGGCCUUCGGGUUGUAAAGCUCUUUUGUCAGGGAAGAAACACCGGCUCUAACACAGUCCGGGAAUGACGGUACCUGAAGAAUAAGCACCGGCUAACUACGUGCCAGCCGCCGCAGUAA